rnacentral:rRNA from 1 species
GACGAACGCUGGCGGCGUGCCUAAUACAUGCAAGUUGAGCGCUGAAGGUUGGUCCUUGUCCCUACUGGAUGAGCAGCGAACGGGUGAGUAACGCGUGGGGAAUCUGCCUUUGAGCGGGGGACAACAUUUGGAAACGAAUGCUAAUACCGCAUAAAAACUUUAAACACAAGUUUUAAGUUUGAAAGAUGCAAUUGCAUCACUCAAAGAUGAUCCCGCGUUGUAUUAGCUAGUUGGUGAGGUAAAGGCUCACCAAGGCGAUGAUACAUAGCCGACCUGAGAGGGGGAUAGGCCACAUUGGGACUGAGACACGGCCCAAACGCCUACGGGAGGCAGCAGGAAGGAAUCUUCGGCAAUGGACGAAAGGCUGACCGAGCAACGCCGGGGGAGGGAAGAAGGGUGUCGGAUCGUAAAACUCGGUUGGUAGAGAAGAACGUUGGUGAGAGUGGAAAGCGCAUCAAGUGACGGUAACUACACAGAAAGGGACGGCUAACUACGUG